GGGGCAAAGGCAACCGGCCUCUGUCACGACGUGCCCCGCUGGGGCAGUUCAAAGCCACUUCUCUGCCUUCCUCCUUUAAAGCAAAGUCUGUGGACUGACACCAGAUCAGCAAACUGGAUAUGGCAUUUUAUGGCAGUAAAAAUGUGCUACUCCCAGGUCUAGAGAGACUGAAUAAGAUAUACAAAGUAUAUAUGCAAGCGAGUCGUCCAUCACUGCUGGCUUUAUUGAAUCAUUCAUUUUUUUACUGUCUGACAAAGCUAUUUCAGAGACUGUUCAACAAAUAUUUAUAAACGGUGCUGUGCCUUGAUAGAAUCAGGGCUGUGACAAUUCAGACAAUGUUGGCGUAAAACUAACACAGUGGGAUUUAAAUGUUCACCCAGACAUUUAUUUCUUCACUAGCAGGAAGUUAUCCAAAGCAAGGCAAUCUCCUUCAAACAAGUGAGGCAAAUAAACAGGUGUGAUGCCCAAGGCUCCUCAUGCACUUCUCACUCCAGUAACAGCAUGAUCUUUUCCUCGUUUUUUAUCUAAAUUUCUUCCUGCUGCCUUGUUUUUAAUUUAGGGCACAAUUUUACAAGCGCACAGGUGUACAAAUAACUUUACUUGCAUAGACAACCAUGAGAUUGCACGCAUGGCAUAAGUUACUCACAUGUCCUGGAGUUUGCCAGUUCGAGUCUGUAAGAUGCAUCCGAAAAGAUCUGCUCCUGCAUCAGCCAAGUGUGGAAGCACCUUUGCCAGUGUAAAGCAGUGAUGUGAGAGAAAAAAAAAAACAGUGCAUGUUGGACUCAGGCCAGUAUCCUCAUCCAGUUCACAUGGUGGGAAAAGUCUAUCCUAGCAUCCUGGUGUUGCACUAACAAAUUAUAGAGAGCCCUGACCGUUUUUUGGGGGGAGGAGGUGGAGGGAGUGUGUGUAAGUGUGUAAGGGAGGAAGGGUUAUAUUGAAAAAGAGAAAAUAACUAACUCUCUCAAAAUCAAUUUUACAAAUAUCCUUUGCAGGUGACCUUUUGUUUGCUUAUAUUAUCAACUAGGAACUUUGCAUGUAAACAGCAAUGGAGCCAGUUGUUAUUUUUAAAGACUUCAAUAGGAUCUUUUAGGAAUUUUGCUUUUUUCCCAACAUCUUUAAAUAAAGAAGUUAUCUGUACAGAAUAACACCCAUGGACUAAGCAGCUAGGGAUGUAAUACAGACCUGUCUUGAACUCUGCCAGCUAUACAAAUCUAACAAUGCAUCUCAGAAAUAACUGGAAAAGGUGACCAGGUUUGGGUUUUUUUAUUAUUAAAUCUGGUUUUAAAGAAUUUGUUCCUGGGAUGAGACGGUGCGUCUGAUUUCAGCAUACAGCAAAAUUUCAAAGUUCAUGUGACCUAUGGAUACUAUCUCAAAAUGUUACUUGUUAAAUAUUAUUUUAAUAAAGACCCUGUUUACAGC